rnacentral:rRNA from 1 species
UACAGAGGGUGCAAGCGUUGUUCGGAAUUACUGGGCGUAAAGCGCGUGUAGGCUGCGGCGUAAGUCGAAUGUGAAAGCCCUUGGCUCAACCAAGGAAGUGCAUUCGAUACUGUGUCGCUUGAGUACCGGAGGGGAUGGCGGAAUUCCGUGGUGUAGAGGUGAAAUUCGUAGAUAUACAGGAGGAACACCUGUGGCGAAGGCGGCCAUCUGGACGGUAACUGACGCUGAGACACGAAAGCGUGGGUAGCAAACAGG